rnacentral:rRNA from 1 species
GACGAACGCUGGCGGCGUGCCUAAUACAUGCAAGUAGAACGCUGAAGGAGGAGCUUGCUUCUCUGGAUGAGUUGCGAACGGGUGAGUAACGCGUAGGUAACCUGCCUGGUAGCGGGGGAUAACUAUUGGAAACGAUAGCUAAUACCGCAUAAUAGUAGAUGUUGCAUGACAUUUGCUUAAAAGGUGCAAUUGCAUCACUACCAGAUGGACCUGCGUUGUAUUAGCUAGUUGGUGGGGUAACGGCUCACUAAGGCGACGAUACAUAGCCGACCUGAGAGGGUGAUCGGCCACACUGGGACUGAGACACGGCCCAGACUCCUACGGGAGGCAGCAGUAGGGAAUCUUCGGCAAUGGACGGAAGUCUGACCGAGCAACGCCGCGUGAGUGAAGAAGGUUUUCGGAUCGUAAAGCUCUGUUGUAAGAGAAGAACGAGUGUGAGAGUGGAAAGUUCACACUGUGACGGUAUCUUACCAGAAAGGGACGGCUAACUACGU